CGUAUUAAAUUUACAUGCAUUCUCGAGGUUUCAAGUCUCGAUGCGCUAAGUUUAGAAUUAUAAAAUCACUUGAAGCAACCUGAUCAGUUUAAAUGAUAAAUAAAAGUGAUGUUGUUAGCUCGAACUUAGUCAACCUUGUGUCAACGUUUCGGGUGGACAGUACGCCAUUGACUUCUCGUGAUAAAAAUAUAAAACAAGAAAUGUGUUUAUCUUUUUUCGCUACUUGCUUAGAGAAACGUUUAAUGUUAUAAAUCGGAAUGUGAUAGACAAGAGGCGUUUCGGACAAUACUCAGUUAUGGCAGAUUUAGAUUCACGUAAAAGAACGAAGUGUAGUAGUGGUUCCAGGAACGGACCGCAGUUUCGAUCAUGGAUUUGGUGUAUACUAAUAAAGUGUUUCAUAAGUUUACCGUGCAUAUUCUCAAAAUGUCUUGGUGUAGAUAUUACAGUUGCAGUGUAUCCUCAGGGUGACAUACCUGUCCCGUACGGUAGUCCAUUAGAAAUUUUUUGCAUUGCAGAGAAUUAUUCGUCUAAUGAUAUAGAAUUUUCACUUGCUGGUAAACACCUCGAAUCUGAGAUCGUAAACAGUACAACAAGAAGAUUGUACAUCAAAAAGCCAGAAAAGCAAGUAAAUUCUUACUACUGUAGAAAUAAUAAGGCGGGAAAAAUAUGUGUUGCUCGAGUGCUUGUUGAAAGUCCUCCAGCUGAUGUUACGGACUUUAACUGUUUGUCUAAGAACCUUGAUAUAUUAAAUUGUUCAUGGACUAGUCCUGAGUCCUAUAGUAAUAUAAAUUAUUCUGUAACCUUUUCUGUUAAUGGAAAUUUUGUAAAGUCACCAUGUAUUGCCGAAAAAGUUGAGAAUACAUUUAUCAGAUACUGUCUGUGGAAUACAAGUAGUCAGCCUAGGUACAGGCAACAAGAAGAGGAACAGUUCUUUCAUCUGAUAGCUUGUAAUGUAUUUGGAUGUAACAAACAAAAUUUCACCAUAGAUCACUACUCGAUUGUCAAGCCAGAUCCACCUAUUGACUUAAAAGUUGUAAAGAAUGGUACCCACAGUGUUGUCUUAAAAUGGAGAGUUCCUAAUAAUAUUGUUGAUUUAUUGACAUGUGGGGUGGAUCAUAUCAUAGAAUAUCAAAUUGCUAAAAUUGAUAAUACUACACAGUUUCACAGAGUGGAUGCAUCAUACCUCCCACCGAAAAAUAAAACUUAUAGAUUUCAGUUAACCAAUUUACCAUAUGCCCAUAUGCAAUAUGAAGUUAGAGUGUACAUAAAGUCUAAAAAAGCAGUUAAAAGAGAAUUCUGGUCCGAAUUUGAGUAUGCAGUAUUCUAUACAGCUAGUGAGAGACCAAAGAGGUCACCUGAUAUGAUUGCAGGUGCAUUUGAUCAAGCCACAUACUAUAACAACAGAGUGAUAUAUGUGUAUUGGAAACAGCUCGAGGAAUAUGAAGAAGCUGGUGCAAAUUUCACAUAUAAAGUACUGGUGUCACAAGGUAAUAAAACAGAAACUGUAUUUCCUGAAAAAAAUAAAAGUCUGAGCUAUGUUAUUCUUAAUGCUAGUCUUGAUGCUCUGGAUGUGACGGUUUGGUCAUUUAAUAUGAAUGGUUCCUCUCCUAACAGUAGUCAUCUCUAUAUCCCACAAGAGAAAGAUACACAUUACCUAAAGCUAACAUCCUUUACCAAAUUAGCAUAUGAAAAUGGUACCUAUGAGCUUUCAUGGGUGGGUAUUAAGAAUAUUGAUAAUUAUACUCUUUUCUGGUGUCAACAUAAUACUACGAAAAUAUGUGCAGGACGAAUGGAUUUUGCAGUACUUAAUCCUAAAAAAAAUAAUCAUGUUAUUGACUUGCCAAGAGAAUACAGAUAUCAGUUUGCAAUAUCAGCAAAUAAUGGCACAAAAACUAGUGGCAUGGUCUGGGCAAAGUGUGACAUAUCGAAGGAUGGAUUUGUUAUGUAUGGUUUUCCUGUUCAUUUAAAUUAUGAUGUGCCUGGUAAGUCAUAUGUAACUUUAAGAUGGGUAAUGGACUGUGCUCUUCAAGAUGGAAUUAUAACAGGCUAUAAUAUAAGCUAUUGUCCAAUCGUUCAAACAAGUAGUUACUGUGAUAAAUCAGUAGAAAACAAAUAUAUUUUUAUACCUAAUCCUAAACAGAUGGAUGUAACUAUAAAAAACUUGCUACCCUUUAGAACUUAUCAGUUCACUUUUGCCCUCAAGACUAUUUAUGGACAAAAAAAUAUUGAAAAUGCUACUGCAGUAAUAACCACAUCCGAAGAUACACCAACUAAUCCUAUAAAUGUUGAAAUACUUGAUGUGAGAAAUAAUUCAUUGACUAUAUCAUGGGACCCACCCAUCCAAAGAAAUGGUAAUAUUGGUAAAUAUGUCAUCUACAACUAUAACAAAGAAUUUUAUGUUGAUAAAGUGUCUGAAACUGAUACUUCUAGAAGAGAAGUAACAUUAACAGGUUUGCAAGGAUACACUAAUUACUCUCUAACUGUGCAAGCAUGCAAUGUUCCCAUAGGUCUGUGUUCAAAAAUUCGAUAUAAUGAUGCAAUAUUUGUAAGAACAAGAAUUGGUUCUCCUAGUAGAUUAAAAGCUCCUACUGUUAAAAAUAAUCCCGACAAGCUUACAUGGGAAGCACCUGAUAAUCCUGGUGGAACAGUCGAUCAAUAUCAGAUAAGAAGGGUAAUAGAUGAUUUGGAACCGGAAAUAAUAAAUACAACAUAUUUAGAAUUUUCCCUUACUCAUUGUGAAGGAGUAGUUUCAACAGAAACUUAUGAAGUUAGAGCAGUUAAUUUUGACUAUGACUUGUAUCACGGAGUGCUAAGCGAUGGAAACGUAACUUUGCCUGUAAGAGAUAAAAAUGAAUCAUAUAAUGAAUAUCCAGGUCCUUGGAGUGAGCCCAGUACCGUGGCCUGUCGAAGCAGGGAUGGAUUGACGAUGAUUUUAAUAUUUAUGGCAAUAUUUGCUCUAAUAGGCAUAGUUUACGGAUCAAUAAAACUAUACAAGAAAUAUAGGAAAAUGGAAGAUAUUAAGCCCGUCUUGCCAAAUGGCUUGGGUAUUCCUGAAAAAGAUAUUUCAAAAUAUACUUUUGGUGGCUGGAAUCCUACAAACAAAGAAGAAAAACCCUCAUCUGAUGAAAUGCUGUUAUUACCGAAUACCAAAACUACAGUUUCAUUGCCAGAUUCAAAACAAAAAGAUGAAAAUUGUGGUGUAAGUGAUCAAACUGAUAGCACUGUUUUAUCUGACUCUUCACGAGGACCUGACGAUCGACAAGUUUCAACUUCAGAUGAUGGUUCGAAUUCGUCGUUUCACAUUGAACCAGAACCCAUUAAAGCCAAUGAGGAUGCUACUAACGAAAUCCCUGAAGGAGAUUCGUCGACGAUAGACGCAGAAAGUUCGCGAGAAAAUUCUCCUUACUUCGGUGACAAAACCUUCAAAAAGAAUUCAAUAACUGGUUUUGUUCAACCUGUAGUGAACUCUGCAACUGGCUACGUACAGUCAGCGCCAGCACCAAUCAAAGGUCCUCUGACAAAGAGUACGCCUACGCCUGCAAGUACCAGUUAUGUUAUGGCUGGUCUGCCUCCACCUAUAUUUACUACUAGUACACCAUCCCAGGUUCCAAAUCCUCCCGCUCCGUCUUCGGGUUACGUUCUCCCAGAAGAAGUACAAGCGAGAUCAAUGCUGAAUUUCUCUAAAUUAGGAUCUGCACCUCCAAAGUUAAUUGGACCUGAAAGCUUGCCUACUAUGCCUACCUUGCCACCUCCAGCGAAGCAUUGCGCUGACAAUAGUUAUAUUCAACUGCAGUCAUUAGAUUCCUUGCCUAGUCUUAAGACAACUGUACGGAACCCUGUGCCAUUGAAGCCAUCCGCCUCGAGCGGCUACGUUAGUCCAGAAGAUGUUGUCAUUAAUAAACAUCUUAAUAAUAUGCUAUCAGCUGGUCAACUUGCCGAGGAGCCUGCCAUACUAGAUCCGACGAUGUCUCCGGAUGCUUAUUGUCGUUUCUCUUGGAGCACUGACCCCGCUAAUGAUAAUCUACACACGUUACUCGCCGAAUCACCCACGCGAACGACCAAGAAUUGAUUCUAUCAUUGCGAUUAUAAUAGUUGACACAGAACUGAUAAACAAAAAUAGAUUAACAGUGACUGAAUUGUAAAUAAAAAAAUAUAGUUUUAUCGUGUAUAAUAUUUUAAUGGACAAUUUAUAUUUCAUGACAAGAUGUUGGGUGUCUUAUCUAGUGAUAAUUUCUGUGCCUUAUUAAUUUAUUUUAGGUAAUUUCAAUGGAAUUAAGUAGAAUCUGAUAAUUCAAAACUCAAAACAAGACAGUAGUAAUGGAGGGAAUUUAUAAAAUUAAUUUAAUACCAAACGAUUUAAGUAUGGAAGAAACUGUCAUACAGAUAGCUGACACCUUAGACAAUCUGAAUGGAAUAGUUGAUGACGUAUUCUCACGCGUAAUGGCGAGAAUCAAUCUGAAUGUAGAUAAGACUCGUGAACUUCAGGAAAGAAUAAAUGUUUCUCGAACAAAAGUGGAGAAACUUGCUGGUAUGCAGAAAGCGAUUAAAGUGUUCUCUAGCGCUAAAUAUCCA